rnacentral:rRNA from 1 species
AGCGAACGCUGGCGGCAUGCUUAACACAUGCAAGUCGCACGGUUGGGGCUUUCGGGUCCUGGCAGUGGCGGACGGGUGAGUAUCGCGUAGGGAUUUGUCGUUGGGUGGGGAGUAACCGCGGGAAACUGCGGCUAAUACCGCAUGACGCCUGUGGGCCAAAGGUGUGUGAGCACUGCCUGACGAGGAGCCUGCGUCCGAUUAGCUAGUUGGUUGGGUAAUGGCUGACCAAGGCUGUGAUCGGUAGCUGGUCUGAGAGGAUGAUCAGCCACACUGGGACGUGAGACACGGCCC